rnacentral:rRNA from 1 species
GUCGAACGGACAAGUAUUUAUACUUGUUAGUGGCGAACGGGUGAGUAACGCGUGGGUGACCUGCCCCGAAGUCUGGGAUAACAGCUCGAAAGGGCUGCUAAUACCGGAUGUGGUUUUUAGGUUUAGAAGCUAAUUUCUAAAGCAGCAAUGCGCUUCGGGAGGGACCUGCGUCCCAUCAGCUAGUUGGUGAGGUCACGGCUCACCAAGGCGACGACGGGUAGGGGGCCUGAGAGGGUGAUCCCCCACACUGGCACUGAAACACGGGCCAGACACCUACGGGUGGCAGCAGUAGGGAAUAUUGCACAAUGGGCGCAAGCCUGAUGCAGCAACGCCGCGUGCGCGAUGAAGGCCUUCGGGUCGUAAAGCGCUUUUCUGGAGGACGAGCAAGGACGGUACUCCAGGAAUAAGGCUCGGCUAACUACGUGCCAGCAGCCGCGGUAAAACGUAGGAGCCUAGCGUUAUCCGAAUUUACUGGGCGUAAAGCGCGUGUCGGCGGUUGGGUAAGUUGGCUGUGAAAUCUCCCGGCUCAACUGGGAGAGGCCGGUCAAGACUGCCUGGCUGGAGGCUGGUAGAGGGAGGUGGAAUUCCGGGUGUAGUGGUGAAAUGCGUAGAUAUCCGGAGGAACACCAGUGGCGAAAGCGGCCUCCUGGACCAGACCUGACGCUCAGACGCGAAAGCUAGGGGAGUGAACGGGAUUAGAAACCCCGGUAAUCCUAGCUGUAAACGAUGUCGACUUGGCGUCGGUGGGGUAAAAGCCAGCGGUGCCGGAGCUAACGCGGUAAGUCGACCGCCUGGGGACUACGGCCGCAAGGUUAAAACUCAAGGAAUUGACGGGGGCCCGCACAAGCAGCGGAGCGUGUGGUUUAAUUCGAUGCUACGCGAAGAACCUUACCCGGGCUUGACAUGCAAGUAGUAGGGAAGCGAAAGCAGACCGACCCUUCGGGAGCUUGCACAGGUGCUGCAUGGCUGUCGU